AGUUGUGCUGUUUGCAUAUGUGUUCUGUGUCACUGCUACACACACUUUAAGAGCUGUAGUGCUGAUCAGAGUGUGUUCAGUCCUUUCAGAGCCACUGACACGCAGCACAAUGAUGAUGGUACUGAGUCUCCUGCUGGGGACACUGGGACUCCUCGCUCACCAGUCUUUUGGGGAAAUCGUCCUGACUCAGUCUCCAGGAUCUCAGUCUGUUUCUCCAGGAGAAUCUGUUACUCUCACCUGUAGAACCAGUCAGAGUGUUAGCACUAACCUCCACUGGUACCUGCAGAAACCUGGAGAAGCUCCUAAACUCCUGAUCUAUUAUGCAUCUACUCGUCAGUCUGGGAUUCCAGAUCGUUUCAGUGGCAGUGGAUCUGGAACACAGUUUAGUCUAAAAAUCUCUGGACUUCUGGCUGAAGAUGCAGGAGAUUAUUAUUGUCAGCAGGGUUACAGCGGGUAAACACAGUGUUACAGCGUCGUACAAAAACCUCCCUGAGCUGUAGAGGAAGUGCUCUGACUCAGAAACACACACUGAUCUGAGAACAGCUGCACAGCUGCUAAAGCUGCACUCCACUGAACAUCAUCAAACAUCUUCAUGUUUCAAAUAUAAUCCUUCUUAAAAAGCAGAAAUCUCUUCAUCAGCUGUUCGUGCUGUGAUGAGAAAUCAGCUGAUGUGUGUAAUGAUAUCUGAUGAUUUCCACCUUCUGCUGAGAGGAUCAGUCUACCAGUUGUGUCAAAAGUAUUCACAUUCAUUACUCAGGUAGAAGUAUUGAUACUAGGGUUUGAAAAAAGAUUGCAACUGUAGAAGUUGAAGUAUAAUGCAAGGAAAAAAUGCCAUUAAGGACGAAAGCUUAGGCUGUGCCACAGGGGCUUAUUGUUCACUACCCCACCUCCUCAAAAACAUAUUUCUAAAGGCCAUAAUGA